AGAGUUUGAUUAUGGCUCAGGAUUAACGCUAGCGGCAGGCCUAAUACAUGCAAGUCGAACGGGAUUCAAGGUAGCAAUAUUUUGAUGAGAGUGGCGCACGGGUGAGUAACACGUAUGCAAUUUGCCUUUAACUGGGGAAUAGCCCUCCGAAAGGAGGAUUAAUACCGCAUAACAUUUCAGAAUGGCAUCAUUUUGAAAUUAAACCUCCGGGGGUUAAAGAUAAGCAUGCAUCCGAUUAGGUAGUUGGUGUGGUAACGGCACACCAAGCCAACGAUCGGUAGGGGGUCUGAGAGGAUGAUCCCCCACACUGGUACUGAGACACGGACCAGACUCCUACGGGAGGCAGCAGUAAGGAAUAUUGGACAAUGGAGGCAACUCUGAUCCAGCCAUGCCGCGUGAAGGAAUAAGGCCCUAUGGGUUGUAAACUUCUUUUAGACGGGACAAAACCCCUUUACGUGUAAAGGGUUGAUGGUACUGUCAGAAUAAGCAUCGGCUAACUUCGUGCCAGCAGCCGCGGUAAUACGAAGGAUGCAAGCGUUAUCCGGAAUUAUUGGGUUUAAAGGGUGCGUAGGCGGACUGAUAAGUCAGUGGUGAAAGCCUGCAGCUUAACUGCAGAAUUGCCGUUGAUACUGUCAGUCUUGAGUACAGUUGAGGUAGGCGGAAUGUGUCAUGUAGCGGUGAAAUGCUUAGAUAUGACACAGAACACCGAUUGCGAAGGCAGCUUGCUAAGCUGUAACUGACGCUGAGGCACGAAAGCGUGGGGAGCAAACAGGAUUAGAUACCCUGGUAGUCCACGCCCUAAACGAUGAUAACUCGCUGUUGGCGAUACACAGCCAGCGGCCAAGCGAAAGCAUUAAGUUAUCCACCUGGGGAGUACGACCGCAAGGUUGAAACUCAAAUGAAUGACGG
rnacentral:rRNA from 1 species